UGUAGAUUAUUUUGUUAUUAUUUCAUUUUCAAUCUUAAGGCUACAAUGAGUCUUACGAUGUGUACUAUGUGUGUGAACUGAUAAUUAGAUUCUAAUUAAAUGCUACAUUGUAAACUAAAUUAUUUUCAGCUGAAGAGAAGAUAUUGAGGAGGUUGUCAAUGCCACCCAAGCAUUAAGAAGUGUCAAAGAUGAUAAAGGAUCCACAAUGACAACAACUCUGUCUCUUUCAGAGGCUAAAUUAGCUUCUUACGAGUGGUCUUUGCCUGCCUUGUCUGCAAAGGUCGUGUAGAUAAGCCACUGUUCUCAACCUGCUGCAGAAGCCUAAUUGGGUGUAAGGCAUGUAUUGUGACGUGGAACAACAGCCACAGUUAGCGCACAAAGUGUCGCACUGUGGAUUUGAAGUGGCUGGACUGCUGUUUCUACUCUCUUUUCCAGUACUGUCAUGUUAUCGUAGCACUCUGGUUUGCAAGAUUUUAUACUUGAAUGCUUUUCUUAUUGUACUGUAUGAUACAACUACUACCAUACCUUACCAGCAUUGUUUUGUAAUGUAGCAUUGUCUAAUGUCAAAGCACUUUAAACGGGCUAAAGGCCGAUACCCAAGUCAGAGACGAGUUCUGUCAAGAUUUGUGCUGGACAACUACCAGCUACAAGUUGGUUUGGUACCCCUCUGCCUAAAAUGUGUAAAACAAUCACUUUAGUUUUGGACACAAAUAAUGUCAUACUUUACCUGGUAUCUUAUGGGCGUUCCAGGACUGUACAACUUUUUCAAGUCCAAUCUGACUCAUUUGACAUGCCAGGUUGGAGACAGUAUUUGGUGACAUCCUGCAUGUCGAGUAACUCCUGAUCCACCAGGUGAACCAGGGCCUGUUUUAGGGUAUAGUUUCCCCAAUUAUUGACCUGGUCAGAUUCUUUCCACUCAAAAAAUCUGUUAAACAAAAUAAAAACUUUAAAAGGUAUUUAAAAACACAGGAUUAUUUUACAACCCCAAAUCUUAUAAGCAGACAAACUUUAAUCUUGAAUUUAAUUGUAGACUGUGUGAAGUGAUUUCUGCUUUGAUUGCUGUAUAAAUAUCCAUCAGUUCUUACCAUUCAAUGCUGCAUCCCAUCCCAAUAAGUUGGGACAAAGCAUAAUGACGAGUGAUGAGUUGACUUACCUUGACAUACCUAUGUGAUUGGUAAAAGCAGAUAUCUCAUAUCCUCAUGUCUGCAGUGCAAACUAGUCUUGAUGCUUAACCUUUUGGAACCCUUUUUACAUUUGCAGUCACAAUGUUUCUUACUUCUCCUUUAUUUCCACUAGAUGUCACUGUGUACAUUGUUUUGAAAGCACUUGAUUAAAAUUGUGAUACGUUUAUUAAUUUGCUUGAAAAGUUUGUUUUAUGAUUUAAUAAAGACAUUAAAUGAA